CAGAUCUCUCCCAUAGCCUGGGCUGGGGGUUUAGUUCGCGAUAAAUUUCACCAAGUGAUGAUGGGUGGUGAAUGGUUGAAAUGAUAUCCUGUAUAGGUGAUCUUUCAAUACAGACGGCUGGGUAUUCUAUCUCGAGUUAGGGUGAUAAGUUUGAUAAGACCAUAAUGAUUGUUGUUGGCGACAUUCACAGCACCCCUCAGCAUCGUUGGGCCACAAGUAAAUUGAACCGAGGCAGACAAUGGCAGACAAGGUUGUAGAGAGAGAAUCCUGGGGAAACAAGGUCCAGUUCCUGCUGUCUUGUAUCGGCUACUCUGUCAGCCUUGGAACAGUCUGGAGGUUUCCCUACCUCUGCUACAAGAAUGGGGGAGCCACGUUCGUCAUCCCCUACCUUAUAAUGCUGGUGGUGGUAGGACUGCCGAUGUUCUUCAUGGAGCUGGCCCUGGGUCAGUUCGCUUCUGAGGGAUCGAUCACUGUGUGGAAAGUCUCUCCAGCAUUUCAUGGUAUUGGGUUUGCCAUGGUGAUCACCAGCUUCAUGGUGUCCAUCUACUUCAACGUCGUCAUCAUGUACGCCGUGUACUACAUGUUUGUCAGCUUCGUCAACCUAGAUUACUCAAUUCCCUGGGGGUCGUGUGGCAAUUCCUGGAACACCAACUCCUGCAGGACUGAGUCCUAUCCAGCUUUGUCAUCCAUGACCGAGGAUAACAAAACAAUGACAUUGUUUAGAGAGUUGUACAAUCAGCCAUGUGUAGACGGCCUCCUCAGCAACAUCUCCGACGUCUACAACUCCACUUUCAACAGCACCGAUGACCUCAACUCCACCAUGAUCCAGGACGACAUCACCAAGAGCUGCCUCAUCAAGUACACAACAGCCAGUGAAGAGUACUGGGAGCGCUAUGUACUUCGUCUCCACGAAUCGGAUGGGUUUGAGGAUUUGGGAGGGUUCAGUCUAAAGAACACCAUGUGCCUAUUCCUGACCUGGCUCCUCAUCUUCGUCUGUCUGAAGAAAGGAAUCAAAUCAUCCGGCAAGGUCGUGUAUUUCACCGCCACCUUCCCCUACGUCAUCAUGUUGGUGCUGCUGAUCCGGGGCGUGACGCUGCCAGGACACGAGAAGGGAAUCUCAUUUUACAUGACACCACAGCUUCCUAAGUUGACAGAGGCCAAGGUAUGGGGAGAUGCAGCUACUCAGAUUUUCUACUCCCUGGGUCCUGGAUUCGGUGGGCUUUUGACCAUGUCCAGUUUCAACAAGUUUAAGAACAACUGUGAAUAUGAUGCUAUUAUAGUUUCUUUCGUCAACUUUUUGGGAAGUCUUUUGGCAGGCUUCACCAUCUUCUCCAUCCUGGGCUUCAUGGCUCACACCACCAACCAGGACGUGCAGAACGUGGUGGACCAAGGUCCAGGUCUAGCUUUCAUAGCAUACCCAGAAGCCAUCGCAAGGCUCCCGGUGUCACCACUGUGGGCCUUACUGUUCUUCUUCAUGCUGCUAACCCUUGGCCUUGACACUCAGUUAGUAAUGAUGCAAACACUGUUAAGUGGCAUCACUGACAUCUUCCCCCGUUUCCUGAGAGCCCACAAGACGGCCUUCACUGGCACCUGCUGUCUGAUUGGCUUCCUACUGGGGUUGCCCCAAGUUACAAAGGGUGGUAUUUAUAUGCUGACACUGAUGGACUGGUACUGCGCCAGCUACAACCUGAUGCUGGUGGCUCUGACGGAGAUCAUCUGUAUCAUGUGUCAAGCAAUUCAUGGAGGACAUUAAGAUGAUGCUUGGCCACCGACCCAACCCCUACUGGGUCGUGACUUGGGCGUUCCUGACUCCCCUCAGCCUACUUUUCAUCGUGAUCAUGUCUGCCACUCAGUACACCCCAGCCAACUAUGGAGACUACAGGUACCCCCCGUGGGCUGAGGGCAUUGGCUGGUGCAUGGUUGUCGCCCCUCUUGCUGUUAUACUCCUCGUUAUGGUAAUCCACGUCUACAGACUCGGACCU
rnacentral:misc_RNA from 1 species